rnacentral:misc_RNA from 1 species
GAUGAAGAACGUAGCGAAAUGCGAUAAGUAAUGUGAAUUGCAGAAUUCAGUGAAUCAUCGAAUCUUUGAACGCACAUUGCGCCCGCCAGUAUUCUGGCGGGCAUGCCUGUUCGAGCGUCAUUUCAACCAUCAAGCCCCCGGCUUGUGUUGGGGACCUGCGGCUGCCGCAGGCCCUGAAAACCAGUGGCGGGCUCGCUAGUCACUCCGAGCGUAGUAAUACAUCUCGCUCAGGGCGUGCUGCGGGUUCCGGCCGUUAAAAAGCCUUAUUUACCCAAGGUUGACCUCGGAUCAGGUAGGAGGACCUGCUGAACUUAAGCAUAUCAAUAAGCGGAGGA